rnacentral:rRNA from 1 species
CAGCAACGGAUCUCUUGGCUCUCGCAUCGAUGAAGAACGCAGCGAAAUGCGAUAAGUAAUGUGAAUUGCAGAAUUCAGUGAAUCAUCGAAUCUUUGAACGCACCUUGCGCUCCUUGGUAUUCCGAGGAGCACGCC